UACGUAGGUGACAAGCGUUGUCCGGAUUUACUGGGCGUAAAGAGCGCGCAGGCGGUCGUUCAAGUCGAGUGUGAAAGCCCCCGGCUCAACUGGGGAGGGUCACUCGAUACUGAUCGACUCGAAGGCAGGAGAGGGAAGUGGAAUUCCCGGUGUAGUGGUGAAAUGGCGUAGAUAUCGGGAGGAACACCAGUGGCGAAGGCGACUUCCUGGCCUGUUCUUGACGCUGAGGCGGCGAAAGCUAGGGGAGCAAACGGGG
rnacentral:rRNA from 1 species